CUUCCUGAUUCAGCGGCGGACGGGUGAGUAAUGCCUAAGAAUCUGCCUGGUAGUGGGGGACAACGUUUCGAAAGGAACGCUAAUACCGCAUACGUCCUACGGGAGACAGGAGGGGACCUUCGGGCCUUGCGCUGUCAGAUGAGCCUAGGUCGGAUUAGCUAGUUGGUGAGGUAAUGGCUCACCAAGGCGACGAUCCGUAACUGGUCUGAGAGGAUGAUCAGUCACACUGGAACUGAGACACGGUCCAGACUCCUACGGGAGGCAGCAGUGGGGAAUAUUGGACAUGGGCGAAAGCCUGAUCCAGCCAUGCCGCGUGUGUGAAGAAGGUCUUCGGAUUGUAAGCACUUUAAGUUGGGAGGAAGGGCAGUAAGCGAAUACCUUGCUGUUUUGACGUUACCGACAGAAUAAGCCCCGGCUAACUCUGUGCCAGCAGCCGCGGUAAUACAGAGGGUGCAAGCGUUAAUCGGAAUUACUGGGCGUAAAGCGCGCGUAGGUGGUUUGUUAAGUUGAAUGUGAAAUCCCCGGGCUCGACCUGGGAACUGCAUCCAAAACUGGCGAGCUAUAGUAAGGCAGAGGGUGGUGGAAUUUCCUGUGUAUCGGUGAAAUGCGUAGAUAUAGGAAGGAACACCUUGGCGAAGGCCACCACCUGGGCUCAUACUGACACUGGGUGCAAAGCGUGGGGAGCCACAGGAUUAUAUACCCUGGUAGUCCACGCCGUAUACGAUGUCACUAGCCGUUGGAGUUUGAACUCUUAGUGGCGCAGCUACGCAUUAGUUGACCGCCUGGGAGUACGCCGCAGG
rnacentral:rRNA from 1 species